AGUGAGAGCAGAGCAAGGCAAGGAACCAUGAGAACAGCCUUCCUGCCCCCGCUGCCCAUGCAUUUCAGCUACUGACAUCAACAGAGCACUUGGAAGUGCUUCACCUACAACUGGAAUUCUGUUUUGAGAUGACGGUUUCAGUCACAGGGAAACAAGGGUCUCUAAUUGAUUAAAAAUGCUGUUUUAUUCACAAAGAGCCAUUUCAAACAAAUGUUCAGAAAUACAUCCACUACCAAAAUAUGGAGGGCUGCAUUUGCCUUAGAUUCCCAUCUACUGGGGCCACUUAUUCUUUGCAUCAGGGGCACAGCCCCACCCCUGCAGAGCAGGCCCCGUCACUUUCCCCUAUGAAUUUAGCGAGCAGUACACAUUUAGACUUUCAGUAUUAUUAGUUUAGCUUUCCAUCCCUAACUACAAAAAGUAAUGCCAUCAGGCUGUGCUAAGUGGGUCAGCUUUGGUGGAUGUGGGAUUUCUCUUCGUUCUUUUCUGUUUAUAUUAAUUUAACCUUGGUUGGGGUAUUGCGAAGGCUCAGGCUUACUUUUGGCUUCAUUUCAGAUCUUACUUAGUAACUUAAACUUUGAUGGAUGUUUUUAAGUUUUAUUUUUGAGACUCAUGAGCUUAGAGGGGCUCUGACUAGUCCUCUAAUCUGGGUCCUUUUGCCAGACUGUGGUAGUCCAUUCUGUUUUAUUUAUUUAUUCUUAAAUGUAUUUUUAAAGUUUAUUUAUUUUGAGACAGAGAGAGAGAGAGAGAGAGAGAGAGCGUGAGAGGGGGAGGGGCAGAGAGAGAGAGAGAGAGAGAGAGAAUCCCAGGUAGGAUUCGCACUGUCAGUGCAGAGCCCGACUCAGGGCUCGAACUCACAAAACUGUGAGAUCAUGACCUGAGCUGAACUCAAGAGUUGGAUGCGUAACUGACUGACCCACCCGAUGGCCCUGGUAGUCCAUUCUUUUUUUUUUUUUUUAAUGUUUAUUUAAUUUUGAGAGAAAGAUAGAGGCAGAGCAUGAGCAGGGGAGGGGCAGAGAGAGAGGGAGAUGCAGAAUCCAAAGCAGGCUCCAGGCUCUGAGCCAUCAGGACAGAGCCCGACGUGGGGCUUGAACUCAUGAACCGUGAGAUCAUGACCUGAGCCGAAAUAAAAAGGAAACUACAGUUCAGUUGGUCCUCCAUAGCCUCAUUCCCUUGGAAGAUACAAAUCGAAAUACAAAUGACAUUUUAUGAUUCAGAUUAUGAGUAGUAUUUAGAAGGAUUUAAAUAUUUUGGAAGAAUGUGCUUUCCGUUGACAAACGUUCCCUGAGAAACCCCUAGCUAUAAAGGCAGGUUUGAAGCCAGUUCAAAGAUGGAGUAGAUCCUGCCUUGGAGGGUCAUUGGGUGGGGUGGGUUGUGUACAAAGAAUUAUAAUCCAAGGCCAAGUGUGAUACUGGCUGUAGGCAUCUCCAUCAGAGGUACAGAGGUAGUUCUUGAAAACAUCCAGAGUGGUUUCCAUAGCGCUGAAUCUCGUGGCUUCUUGUUCCCUGUGGACUCCUCUCUGUCACGUUUGCUCUGGUUUGGACCGGAGCCGGAGAGUGGCAGAGCCUAUCGUCACUGCAACGUGAGGGUCGGCCCUUGUCUUUGCAAUAACUGUCCUCAUCUUUUGCCCCGAGGCACACAUUUCCCAGACGGAUGGAGUGCUGAAAAGAAAGAGUGAUUCAGACAGCCUAAAUGAAGACCAAUAUUUGCGAUUGGAUCACAGACAGGCACGUUCAAGCAACUGACGCGAGACGUGGGAUAUGCGCUCACACGGAGUGCUCUUCCCGUGCUUUCCAGCCCUCGCCACCAAGCCCCGAUACAUGGAUCCUGUCUGAUUGCCUUGUGAAUUUUGUCAUAGCUUCAUAUAGUGGGAAUGAGUGUGGACCCUGCUUGGGAGGAAGAAGCGAGAGCUGAGUGUAUGCAGGCAAAGUAGGAACCACACUGCACACACAUGCCACAUUGUGGGUACAACAGCCCCACAUUUCCUCCUUCUUUUUUUCAACUUGAUUAUUUAAAGUUUAUUUAUUUAUUUUUGAGAGAGGUGGGCGUGGGGCUAGGGACAGAGGGAGAUUGGGAACCCACAGCGGUGCAGAGCCCAACGUGGGACUUCAUCCCAUGAGCCAUGAGAUCACGAUCUGAGCUGAAAUCAAGAGUUGGAUGCUUAACCAACUGAGUCACCCAGACGCCCCAUGCUUCAUUCUUUUAAGUAUCAGGGACAGCUUGUCACACAGAUUCACCUAAGCCACAGCAUCAAUUUAGGCUUGUGACUCAGGAACCCCAUAAACACACGUAUUGUUGACAGUCAUCAGGCGUGUCCCAAAAGAAGUAUUGUUUUGUCAGGGCGGCCCUAACAAAAUACCAUACAUGGGGUGGCUUAACCGCCAGGAAUUUACUUUCUCACAGUUCUGGAGGCGGGAAGUCCAAGUUCCGUGGCUCAAGGCCCGAGAUGAAGCCGGCAGUGGGUUUGGUCUGCAGCCUGUCUCCUCAGCUGCAAGAUGGCUGCCUUCUUGCUCUGUCAUCGCACGGUCUUCUUUCUGCGCACGUCUGUGUCCUAAUUUUCUCGUCUUCCAAGAACACCAGUCAUAUUUGUUUAGAACCCACCUUAAGGACCUUCUUUGGACUUAAUCACCUCUUUAAAGAGCCCAUUUCCAAACAUAGUCACAUUCUGAGAUGUUGGGAGUGAGGGCUUCGACAUACAGAUUUUGGGGGGGAUGCAAUUCAGCCCAUAACAAAAGAAUAACAAAACACACAGAAGUCUAAUGCUUUGUCCUUCAUUUACGUGGUUUUGUUAGUGACCUUUGUUUACUAUAAUAUGGACUUUGCUUUUUUUUUUUUUUCUGCCAAUAGCCAUUACAGAUUUACCCUUACUUUCUUUUCUAUAUCAGAUUGUCAGCUAACUAACAAAGGAAUUGCAUCUUGGUGUCCCUCCCAGGACCCAGCACGAUGUUUGACAAAUAAAAGUUCAAGAACGGUC